GUGUCAGCCGCCGCGGUAAUACGUAGGGGGCUAGCGUUGUCCGGAAUCAUUGGGCGUAAAGAGCGUGUAGGCGGCCCGGUAAGUCCGUUGUAAAAGUCGAAGGCUCAACCUUUGAAUGCCGAUGGAUACUGCCGGGCUAGAGUCCGGAAGAGGCGAGUGGAAUUCCUGGUGUAGCGGUGGAAUGCGCAGAUAUCAGGAGGAACACCGAUAGCGAAGGCAGCUCGCUGGGACGGUACUGACGCUAAGACGCGAAAGCGUGGGGAGCGAACAGGAUUAGAAACCCCUGUAGUCC
rnacentral:rRNA from 1 species